ACGGGUGAGUAAUACAUCGGAACGUGCCCGAUCGUGGGGGAUAACGGAGCGAAAGCUUUGCUAAUACCGCAUACGAUCUACGGAUGAAAGCAGGGGACCGCAAGGCCUUGCGCGGACGGAGCGGCCGAUGGCAGAUUAGGUAGUUGGUGGGAUAAAAGCUUACCAAGCCGACGAUCUGUAGCUGGUCUGAGAGGACGACCAGCCACACUGGGACUGAGACACGGCCCAGACUCCUACGGGAGGCAGCAGUGGGGAAUUUUGGACAAUGGGCGAAAGCCUGAUCCAGCCAUGCCGCGUGCAGGAUGAAGGCCUUCGGGUUGUAAACUGCUUUUGUACGGAACGAAAAGCCUCUUUCUAAUAAAGAGAGGUCAUGACGGUACCGUAAGAAUAAGCACCGGCUAACUACGUGCCAGCAGCCGCGGUAAUACGUAGGGUGCGAGCGUUAAUCGGAAUUACUGGGCGUAAAGCGUGCGCAGGCGGUGAUGUAAGACAGAUGUGAAAUCCCCGGGCUCAACCUGGGAACUGCAUUUGUGACUGCAUCGCUGGAGUGCGGCAGAGGGGGAUGGAAUUCCGCGUGUAGCAGUGAAAUG
rnacentral:rRNA from 1 species